rnacentral:rRNA from 1 species
UGUCGUCAGCUCGUGUCGUGAGAUGUGGGUAAGUCCCGCAACGAGCGCAACCCUUGAUCUUAGUUGCCAUCAUUUAGUUGGGCACUCUAAGGUGACUGCCGGUGACAAACCGGAGGAAGGUGGGGAUGACGUCAAAUCAUCAUGCCCCUUUAUGACCUGGGCUACACACGUGCUACAAUGGACGAUACAAACGGUUGCCAACUCGCGAGAGGGAGCUAAUCCGAUAAAGUCGUUCUCAGUUCGGAUUGUAGGCUGCAACUCGCCUACAUGAAGCCGGAAUCGCUAGUAAUCGCGGAUCAGCAUGCCGCGGUGAAUACGUUCCCGGGCCUUGUACACACCGCCCGUCACACCACGAGAGUUUGUAACACCCGAAGUCGGUGAGGUAACCUUUUGGAGCCAGCCGCCGAAGGUGGGAUAGAUGAUUGGGGUGAAGUCGUAACAAGGUAGCCGUAUCGGAAGGUGCGGCUGGAUCACCUCCUUUCUAAGGA